rnacentral:rRNA from 1 species
AUUGAACGCUGGCGGCAGGCCUAACACAUGCAAGUCGAACGGUAACAGGAAGAAGCUUGCUUCUUUGCUGACGAGUGGCGGACGGGUGAGUAAUGUCUGGGAAACUGCCUGAUGGAGGGGGAUAACUACUGGAAACGGUAGCUAAUACCGCAUAACGUCGCAAGACCAAAGAGGGGGACCUUCGGGCCUCUUGCCAUCGGGUGUGCCCAGGUGGGAUUAGCUAGUAGGUGGGGUAACGGCUCACCUAGGCGACGAUCCCUAGCUGGUCUGAGGGGAUGAGCAGCCACACUGGAACUGAGACACGGUCCAGACUCCUACGGGAGGCAGCAGUGGGGAAUAGUGCACAAUGGGCGCAAGUCUGAUGCAGCCAGGCCGCGUGUAUGAAGAAGGCCUUCGGGUUGUAAAGUACUUUCAGCGGGGAGGAAGGGAGUAAAGUUAAGACCUUUGCUCAUUGACGUUACCCGCAGAAGAAGCACCGGCUAACUACGUG